AUUGAACGCUAGCGGGAUGCCUUACACAUGCAAGUCGAACGGAGUGGCGAACGGGUGAGUAAUGUAUCGGAACGUGCCCAGUAGCGGGGGGUAACUACGCGAAAGCGUAGCUAAUACCGCAUACUCUUGGUGAGGCCGAUAUCGGCCUCGCUAGUUGGUGGGGUAACGGCUCACCAAGGCGACGAUCCGUAGCUGGUUUGCGAGGACGACCAGCCAAACUGGGACGGAGACACGGCCCAAAGUCCUACGGAAGGCGGCAGUGGGGAAUUUUGGACAAGGGGGGGAGCCCUGAUCCAGACAGCCCGCGUGUGUGAUGAAGGCCUUCGGGUUGUAAAGCACGUUUGGCAGGAAAGCGGUACCUGCAGAAUAAGCACCGGCUAACUACGUGCCAGCAGCCGCGGUAAUAC
rnacentral:rRNA from 1 species